CUGGGGUCCGGAGGCUGCCUGGGCUCAGACCCGGGAGCCAGCUCUGGGCUUCGACCAGCAGGGCCCAGGGAGGAGCCACGCGGGCGGCGGCGGAGGCCAGCCUGGGCCGAGUUGGCAGGAUGCUUUUCGAAAGAAAGGCUGUACCGUUGUCCCGGUUGUCGGUUGUCUGUAAGUGCGUGUCGGGGGAAGCAGGAGUGCUGGCCCCGGGGCCAUUGGGGUGUUGGGUGACCUGCGAGCAGACGGUGGAGGCCGGGGCAGAAGGGUUGUGGAAUGGUUACAUGCUUACGUAACAGAGACCUUAACUUUUCCAAAAAAGGCAAUUCACUGGAAAGAGGACAAGGGAGCAGAGAGAGCCCAAAGGUGGAGCUGCAGCAUGGUGUCUGGGCACGGGGACGCCAGCAAGAAUCUGCAGGAGCCCCCUUUGCUGGUCUCUGCUUCAUCACCCCCAGGCGUGGGCAUAAUCAGAGCUGACCCCUGCUGAGCCAGGCCCAGAACUGAGAACUUUACAUGCGUGGUUUAAUCCUCGUGACAACCCCAUGAGAUAGGUGUUACUACUAUUCCUCCCAUUUUGCAGAUGUGGGAUGAGGCACAGAGAGGUUGAGUAACCACUGAAGGCCACACAGCCAGUACAUGGCGAGCCAGGAUUCUCUCCACGGCUCUACUGUGCUGCCUCCAGAGAACCAGGGGCCAUCACAAACUGGAUGGACAUCCCAGUGUGUCUUCUACUCUUGACAAGUCCCCUCCCGGUAACUUGACAAGGACAGGCAGGGAGAAGACGGGGGGUAAGACCUGUGUGUGUUACAGUUUACACGACAACUUCACACACGUUUCCUCAUCUCAAGCUCACCACAGCCCCCGGGGGAAACGGAGGCCCGGCGAGCAUGUGACGGGCCUGGGGCGCCCCCAGGGUCUCGGGGAUGUUGCUUGCUCCCCUCGGCCUUGGCAGGUGCACCGGGGCUGGGCCGCUGGUGCGGCGAAGACGGGCCGGCGGCGCCCGGACACCAGACGAGCACCAUCUAUGUGCAAGGCCCUCUCUGAUCCAGGGCUGCGUUGCGGUUCUCCAAGUCCUGACGCCGUGGAAGCCACUAGGAGAGGCUGGAGCCAGGCGCGAGGCCUCCCCGCCCGGGCGCGUAGCUGCGGCUGCUCCCUGCCCGGUCCUCUGCGCGGAGCCAGCAAGGCGCUCAAAUUAGACCCGUGAGCACCUCCCCGAGGUUAAGGGCGCCUCGUGGGCCCCCGGCCAGGACUCGGCCGAGCCGGAAGUCCGGGGGAGGGGCCCCUAACUGCAGAGCGACAGUCACCCAGGAGCAGGUGGGGCUCCCCCAAAACCACGCACCUGCUCCUCGGGCUCCUUCUAGAAACCUGCGGGAGCUGAAGACCAGGCGCGGCGCCAGCUUCUCUUCACCCCUGUCCGCGAGGUCCCUAGAGACCCUGGAGCUGUCGGUAGCAGGAGGGGUUUACACCAGGUGACCCGUGAGCAGCUUCCCAGCUCUGACCCCAAGACAAGUCCUGCCCUGUGAGGUCAAAGCCUUCGGAGCUGGAGGGAAGGACCAGAGAAGACGGCCCACCACCAGCAGCCGCGUCAGGGUUUGCACGGACGCAGUGAGAAGCCAUCCGUCUGUGCGCCAGGGAGCCGGCUCACUCCAGACCCCGCGUCUGCCCAGCCCUUGAGAUUGGACUCUGAGCAUCGGGAAGUGUGAGAAAUAAGUGUCUGUGGUUUAAGGGCCAGGCUGCAGUAUUUUCCUAUAUGGUCUAAGACAGGGGCAGACUUGGCUUGUUUUUAGCGUUUUAGGGAAAUGAAUGCCAGUUUUGAGUGACUGUCACCUUGCACCUGCCCCUGGACAAGGAGCAGCAGGGCGUGGGAGAGAGGCAUGGGGGGAGGGGCUCCAGAGGGCCACAUCGUCACCCACUGCAUCUGGCAACACCAGUAAGUGGGCUGGGCCCCUCCCUGGGUGGCCUGGGGACCCCUGGGCCGGAGGAAAGGGGAUGAGAGCAGAGGGGUGGGAGGUCCAGAGCUCUGCUCCUGGUGGGGGGCUGGGUGUCCUGAGGGGAGGCCCCAGCACCCCUGGCCUGUGACCUGCCAUCACUGCUGGCCCAGGAGGAAGAGUGGACAGACACCCACAGGGGCAGAGAGACCCCGAGGCCAGCAGGCGACCUGCACACUGGGUCCAGGCAGGGGUCAAGGACAGGGCUGGAGUGAGCGAGAUGCUCAGGUCCGACACUGUCGCCCUGAAGAAGGCAGGUGGCCUUCCUGUUGGGCCACUGCCACUCUGAGCUGUGCCUGCAGGCCACACGCACUCUGUGCUCAGGCCCCUGGUGAAGCCACAUCUGCCAGACGUGAGCCACCAGGGACAGGACGACCCUAAGAAGUCAACCCCGGCCUCACUGGGGGUCCAGGGCCCAGCAGUUGGGAGACCACCCCUCCUCCCUGGGCAAUGGGGAGGAGCUUGACGACCCCAUCGGGGUGGCCUCUAGGGGAGCCCUGGGCCCUGAGGCACGAGGUCCACCCCGCGCUAGGGCAGACUCAGAGCUGAGCUCCUCAGGAGCAAGAGGCUACCCAGCUGCAGGGAGGGGGGGGUCAGCGGAUGGCUAACCCGAGGACGGGGUCUGCCUCGGCUGCCAAGGUCAAGGUCAUCUUCUCGGGCCCUGCAGCCAGAGUGAGGGAGGGUGCGAGGGCCCAGCCCCUUCCGCCCCACGCGGGCUCCUCCGACGGGCAGCGAUGGCUCGGAGCUCCACCGGGCUGUCGGAGGCGCGCGCAGCAGAUCCGAACAUCAGUUUACCAACCCCUCCUACCCACCCCUGCUCGUCCCUUCUCUCCACCGGUGCUGCUCCCCAAUAAAUCUUUUGCUCCCCUGACUCUGGCUCAGGGUUGGCCUCCUGGAGAACCUAACCUGCAGCACCCUCUUCCGCGCCCUUGUGCCUCAGUUUCCCCUCGUGGGGUGGUACCUGUGCUUCGGGUUCAACACUGCACGAACAGGAGGAUGACCUGUUUCCUCAGUACCCGAAACACCCCCCCGCACCCAGCCGGCAGGGCACGCGCAGUGGAGAAGGGGGCGCCCGCCUCUGGUGGCCUCAGCGCCCACCCCACCAAGGGGCUGCCACUAAAAACAAAACACGACAUCACAAGACCCAGAGAAAGCGGGGGAACCGAAGGCUGGCUGUUCUCCGGGGCGCCCCCUCCCCGCUCCCCUGCGGGCUGGCAGAAGGGGCCCCCUCGGACUUUAGGACGCUCCCCAGUCACCGCCUGCGGCUGGGACCACGCUCUGCUCCCCAUCCCUGCUUGCCCCAGGUCUGCAGCUCCCCUCGUGAUGCCGAGGUGACACGUUCCCCCGCCGAGCCGGCCCCGUGCACGCCCACCCCCGGAGCGCUCCGACCCCGUGGGCCCCCCCCCCACCCCCGCCCCCCCAGGAGGAGAGAGCAGCCGGCCUGUGCCGGCCCUGCUCCCAAUCCCAGCGCCCGCAUACCCUGCACAAGCGGUCAGCGCCGCCGAGGGUCUCCCCGCAUCCAUCCCACCCCACGCCUGCCAGCACGCGGCCUGGGGGCCUACCCUGGGCCCGCAGGGAGAGCACAGCCCUGGCCCAUGGAAGGUUCUGGACUGCAGAGAUCUCCUGCCUACAGCCUCCACCACGGAAUCCAAGGCGCUCCGGACCCUCUUCCCCACGCAGCCCUUCAGGUGCGGGAGUCCCCGAGGCCCCUUCUCUGAGCUAAAACACGCCACUCUUCCCAUUCCUCCUCAUGUGACUGGAUUUUGAGCCCUCCCACCAUCCUGGCCACACAGUCUGGAAUGUGGUUUGCUGAUGACUUUCCGAAAGUGGGGUUCCCAGGGCUCAAUACGCUCCCGGGAGCGGUCAGGUCAGCCGGCCCGGGGAAGGCUCUGCGGACACGUUUUGUUGACCCAACUUGAGGUCCUAUCAGCUGUCGCGGACCCCACGCAGACUCUGCAGUCACAAUGCCCCGAUUCAUGUCCCUUCUCAGCCAGUUCCACCUUGGGUAAAUUAUUUAGCUUCUCUGUACCUCAGUUUACUUAACUGUAAAAUAGGGUCAUAACGGCACCCCCUCUCCCCCACCCCAAGCCAAGACGCGGGAAAAGAGCCGGGCGGCCGUCGGCCGGCAGAGGGCGCUGCACGCCCGCCUUGGACGGGAUGCGCUGCCGGACGCGGCCGCCAGGGGUCGCCCGAGCGCCGCGGCGGACCGAGGAGACCCCUGGCCGGGCCGCGCCUGCACCACCCGACUGGUACCCACGAGGGGGGAGGGGGGAGGCUGCGCCGACCCUGGACUGGCCGCCCCUUGCCUGCGCCUCACCCCGCCCUUCUGGAAGACUCGGAGCAGUUUACUGCAACCUCCGCACACCUGAUGCGGAGCCAAAUCGCAGGCGCUGUGGCCGCCAAGCAGGUGCAAAGGGGAGCGAGGCUCGGGGGGAAUCGGGGGGAUGUGUGACCCCAGUGACGCAAAGCCUUUGAAAGAGCGGCAGUGACACCGCCCAGAGGCGCAGGACACACCCCCGGGACCCGGCCACAUCCGAGAACAGGAUAGGGCUGCUCACCCGCUCCUGAGACCCGCGCUGCCUCGGGUCAUCACAUCCUCCCCCUGGCCCCCACCCUGGACCUCUCCACCCUGCAUGGGGUGCGCUUGCUGUGUCCAGGUGUCCAGACAGGUGAAUUAGAAGGAUCUGGGGAGUCACGGAUGGGAUACGGAACUGAAAUCUACUUCCUCCCCUUGGCCAUGAAAUGGGAGAAAACCUCCUCUGUUCAGGGUGGGGAAGGGCAUACAUGGUUCCUGGAGGAGGAAGCCAAGGGCAGCAUUUUGAUCUGGCCCACAGUAGAGAAAAAGUCCUGUCUCCAAGGUCUGCCAAGGGUUUGGCAUCCAAGGUAAGAUCAGGACAACAUAUCUAGGAUGGUUAAUUUUAUGUGUCAAGUUGACUGGGCCCAGAAAUUUGGUCAAAUAUUAUUCUGGAUGUGUCUGUGAGGGAGUUUUUGAAAGAGAUUGACAUUUAAAUCAAGAGACUGAGUAAAGCAGAUUGCCCUCCCUGGUGUAGGUGGGCCUCACCCAAUCAGUUGAAGGCCUGAAGAGAACAAAAAGGCCGAGGCUCCCACGAGUAAGAGGGAACUCCUCCUGCCUGACUGAUUUCCAGCUGGGACAUCAGCUUUUUCCUGUCUUCAGACUUGAGCUGAAACAUCGGUUUCUCUUGGGUCUUGAGCCUGCCUGCCUUCAGACUGGAACAUCAUCAGCCCUCCUGGGUCUCCCGCUUGCUGACUGCAGAUCUUGGGGCUUGUCAGCCUCUGUAGUUACCUGAGCAAUUCCAUACCCUCUUGGUUCUACCCCUCUGGAGAACCCUGGCCAUUCACUGGCCUAAUCGACAGAGCAACAUGGUAUCAUUCUCCUCUCCUCUCACAUCAGCAAAGACAAGUCCUUCAGGUGUAUGGAGGAAAUCGAACGUGUGCAAGUCUGUCGAGUCAACAUGCUGUCUUUGGAGUCCGUCCUUGGGAACCAACUGCACGUGGUGGGGUGUCUUGUGCACAUAAGGAUGUUGGGAAGGACGCUCCCCCACCCAGCGCCCACUGCCCUCCUGGUAAAGGGGCUUCAAUGCCUGGUCAGUCAGAGCAGUCUCCUGGCCAGGGGAUUGGCUCAGGUUGGGCCAAGCCAGGUCAAUUAGGGUAAAUGAGAUUUUAUUCUGGCAAUUUGUAGGAACUGACUUUAAAAAAAAAAAGUGUUUGCUUUUUCUUCUGAGAAGAUAGUUAUCCACUGAGGCUUCUGGCAGCCAUCUUGUCACCAUGAGGGGAAUAGCCGGCCUGAGAAUUUCCAAAGCACACAGGAAAGUCUGAGAGCCACUCAUGCCCCAAGCCGGAGACUUCCCCUGGGUGUUUCAUUUCCAUAAGCAGUAAUUUCUCUUGUUUGAUUCAGCAAGUGUAGCUUGUGUUUCUACAAUUCUGACUGAUUCGACAGGGCUGCACUGCUGUAACAGUGGCAAACAGGUCAUUGAAAUGGCCGCAACGGUAAGUUGAUCAAAUAACUGUCCAGGAUCCUAAUAAAAUGCUUUACAGCAAUUAGACAAGAGGAUGUAGAUCUGUAUUUGUAGGCACAGAAACUGGUCCACGUUAUAGUAUUAAGUUUUUUAAAAGGUUAUAAAACAGCAACAGCAUAUAAUCUGGGAGAAUAAAUAGCAAAC
ensembl:lncRNA